rnacentral:rRNA from 1 species
UUAACACAUGCAAGUCGAGGGGCAGCAUGGUCUUAGCUUGCUAAGGCCGAUGGCGACCGGCGCACGGGUGAGUAACACGUAUCCAACCUGCCGUCUACUCUUGGACAGCCUUCUGAAAGGAAGAUUAAUACAAGAUGGCAUCAUGAGUCCGCAUGUUCACAUGAUUAAAGGUAUUCCGGUAGACGAUGGGGAUGCGUUCCAUUAGAUAGUAGGCGGGGUAACGGCCCACCUAGUCUUCGAUGGAUAGGGGUUCUGAGAGGAAGGUCCCCCACAUUGGAACUGAGACACGGUCCAAACUCCUACGGGAGGCAGCAGUGAGGAAUAUUGGUCAAUGGGCGAGAGCCUGAACCAGCCAAGUAGCGUGAAGGAUGACUGCCCUAUGGGUUGUAAACUUCUUUUAUAAAGGAAUAAAGUCGGGUAUGGAUACCCGUUUGCAUGUACUUUAUGAAUAAGGAUCGGCUAACUCCGUGCCAGCAGCCGCGGUAAUACGGAGGAUCCGAGCGUUAUCCGGAUUUAUUGGGUUUAAAGGGAGCGUAGAUGGAUGUUUAAGUCAGUUGUGAAAGUUUGCGGCUCAACCGUAAAAUUGCAGUUGAUACUGGAUAUCUUGAGUGCAGUUGAGGCAGGCGGAAUUCGUGGUGUAGCGGUGAAAUGCUUAGAUAUCACGAAGAACUCCGAUUGCGAAGGCAGCCUGCUAAGCUGCAACUGACAUUGAGGCUCGAAAGUGUGGGUAUCAAACAGGAUUAGAUACCCUGGUAGUCCACACGGUAAACGAUGAAUACUCGCUGUUUGCGAUAUACUGCAAGCGGCCAAGCGAAAGCGUUAAGUAUUCCACCUGGGGAGUACGCCGGCAACGGUGAAACUCAAAGGAAUUGACGGGGGCCCGCACAAGCGGAGGAACAUGUGGUUUAAUUCGAUGAUACGCGAGGAACCUUACCCGGGCUUAAAUUGCAGAUGAAUUACGGUGAAAGCCGUAAGCCGCAAGGCAUCUGUGAAGGUGCUGCAUGGUUGUCGUCAGCUCGUGCCGUGAGGUGUCGGCUUAAGUGUCAUAACGAGCGCAACCCUUGUUGUCAGUUACUAACAGGUUCCGCUGAGGACUCUGACAAGACUGCCAUCGUAAGAUGUGAGGAAGGUGGGGAUGACGUCAAAUCAGCACGGCCCUUACGUCCGGGGCUACACACGUGUUACAAUGGGGGGUACAGAGGGCCGCUACCACGCGAGUGGAUGCCAAUCCCCAAAACCUCUCUCAGUUCGGACUGGAGUCUGCAACCCGACUCCACGAAGCUGGAUUCGCUAGUAAUCGCGCAUCAGCCACGGCGCGGUGAAUACGUUCCCGGGCCUUGUACACACCGCCCGUCAAGCCAUGGGAGCCGGGGGUACCUGAAGUGCGUAACCGCGAGGAGCGCCCUAGGGUAAAACUGGUGACUGGGGCUAAGUCGA